rnacentral:rRNA from 1 species
CGCGUAGGCGGCCUGAUAAGUAGGGGGUGAAAUCUUGCGGCUUAACCGCAAGGCUGCCUUCUAAACUGUCAGGCUCGAGCACAGUAGAGGCAGGUGGAAUUCCCGGUGUAGCGGUGGAAUGCGUAGAGAUCGGGAAGAACAUCAGUGGCGAAGGCGGCCUGCUGGGCUGUUGCUGACGCUGAGGCGCGACAGCGUGGGGAGCAAACA